CAUGUGUUUGAAGAUACCCUAAACUUAACCUAACCUAACAAAACCCCAAACAGUCACUAUGGGUCUUGACUCAGAAAACUCAUUUAUGCUUUCUAACUAAUGAGACUUUCUAUACAACAAAGUGAGGUCAUUCUGUGUUGAUUUAUGCCAUAAGGUGCUGGCUAUCAUGUGUUUGAAGAUACCCUAAACUUAACCUAACCUAACCUAACAAAACCCCAAACAGUCACUAUAGGUCUUGACUCAGAAAACUCAUAUAUGCUUCCUUACUAAUGAGACUUUCUAUACAACAAAGUGAGGUCAUUCUGUGUUGAUUUAUACCAUAAGGUGCUGGCUAUCAUGUGUUUGAAGAUACCCUAAACUUAACCUAACAAAAUCCUAAACAGUCACUAUAGGUCUUGACUCAGAAAACUCAUCUAUGGUUCUUUACUAAUGAGACUUUCUAUACAACAAAGUGAGGUUAUUCUUUGUUGAUUUGUACCACAAGUCACUGGCUAUCAUGUGUUUGAGGAUACCCUAAACUUAACCUAACCUAACAAAACCCAAAACAGUCACUAUAGGCCUUGACUCAGAAAAUUCAUAUAUGCUUCCUUACUAAUGAGACUUUCUAUACAACAAAGUGAGGUCAUUCUUUGUUGAUUUAUACCAUAAGGUGCUGGCUGUCAUGUGUUUGAAGAUACCCUAAACUUAACCUAACCUAACCUAACAAAACCCAAAACAGUCACUAUAGGUCUUGACUCAGAAAACUCAUAUAUGCUUCCUUGCUAAUGAGACUUUCUAUACAACAAAGUGAGGUUAUUCUCUGUUGAUUUAUACCAUAAGGUGCUGGCUGUCAUGUGUUUGAAGAUACCCUAAACUUAACCUAACCUAACAAAACCCCAAACAGUCACUAUAGGUCUUGACUCAGAAAACUCAUAAAUGCUUCCUUACUAAUGAGACUUUCUAUACAACAAAGUGAGGUCAUUCUGUGUUGAUUUAUACCAUAAGGUGCUGGCUAUCAUGUGUUUGAAGAUACCCUAAACUUAACCUAACCUAACCUAACAAAACCCCAAACAGUCACUAUAGGUCUUGACUCAGAAAACUCAUAAAUGCUUCCUUACUAAUGAGACUUUCUAUACAACAAAGUGAGGUCAUUCUCUGUUGAUUUAUACCAUAAGGUGCUGGCUAUCAUGUGUUUGAGGUUACCCUAAACUUAACCUAACCUAACCUAACAAAACCCCAAACAGUCACUAUAGGCCUUGACUCAGAAAACUCAUAUAUGCUUCCUUGCUAAUGAGACUUUCUAUACAACAAAGUGAGGUCAUUCUGUGUUGAUUUAUACCAUAAGGUGCUGGCUAUCAUGUGUUUGAAGAUACCCUAAACUUAACCUAACCUAACAAAACCCCAAACAGUCACUAUAGGCCUUGACUCAGAAAACUCAUAUAUGCUUCCUUACUAAUGAGACUUUCUAUACAACAAAGUGAGGUCAUUCUUUGUUGAUUUAUACCUUAAGGUGCUGGCUAUCAUGUGUUUGAAGAUACCCUAAACUUAACCUAACCUAACCUAAGAAAACCCCAAACAGUCACUAUAGGCCUUGACUCAGAAAAUUCAUAUAUGCUUCCUUACUAAUGAGACUUUCUAUACAAUAAAGUGAGGUCAUUCUGUGUUGAUUUAUACCAUAAGGUGCUGGCUGUCAUGUGUUUGAGGAUACCCUAAACUUAACCUAACCUAACCUAACAAAACCCCAAACAGUCACUAUAGGUCUUGACUCAGAAAACUCGUAUAUGCUUCCUUACUAAUGAGACUUUCUAUACAACAAAGUGAGGUCAUUCUCUGUUGAUUUAUACCAUAAGGUGCUGGCUAUCAUGUGUUUGAAGAUACCCUAAACUUAACCUAACAUAACCUAACAAAACCCCAAACAGUCAUUAUAGGCCUUGACUCAGAAAACUCAUAUAUGCUUCCUUACUAAUGAGACUUUCUAUACAACAAAGUGAGGUCAUUCUCUGUUGAUUUAUACCAUAAGGUGCUGGCUAUCAUGUGUUUGAAGAUACCCUAAACUUAACCUAACAUAACCUAACAAAACCCCAAACAGUCAUUAUAGGCCUUGACUCAGAAAACUCAUAUAUGCUUCCUUACUAAUGAGACUUUCUAUACAACAAAGUGAGGUCAUUCUUUGUUGAUUUAUACCAUAAGGUGCUGGCUAUCAUGUGUUUGAAGAUACCCUAAACUUAACCUAACAAAAUCCUAAACAGUCACUAUAG